rnacentral:rRNA from 1 species
GGAGUUAGCCGGUGCUUCUUCUGCGAGUAACGUCACAGAUGUAAGGUAUUAACUUACACCCUUUCCUCCUCGCUGAAAGUGCUUUACAACCCGAAGGCCUUCUUCACACACGCGGCAUGGCUGCAUCAGGGUUUCCCCCAUUGUGCAAUAUUCCCCACUGCUGCCUCCCGUAGGAGUCUGGGCCGUGUCUCAGUCCCAGUGUGGCUGAUCAUCCUCUCAGACCAGCUAGGGAUCGUCGCCUAGGUGAGCCUUUACCUCACCUACUAGCUAAUCCCACCUGGGCUUAUCCAUCAGCGCAAGGCCCGAAGGUCCCCUGCUUUCCCCCGUAGGGCGUAUGCGGUAUUAGCAGUCGUUUCCAACUGUUAUCCCCCACAAAUGGGCAAAUUCCCAGGCAUUACUCACCCGUACGCCGCUCGUCAUCUUCAAAAGCAAGCUUUUGAAAUGUUACCGCUCGACUUGCAUGUGUUAGGCCUGCCGCCAGCGUUCAAUCUGAGCCAGGAUCAAACUCUGA